GCACUAAUAGUUUAGAAGAAUUUCACUUUGUGGAAGUGGCGGCGAAUGUAUGUCUUAGUGUA
rnacentral:tRNA from 1 species